AAAAAUAAUAAAUUGGCGAUUUGGCAACACCCCGUCCGCUAGCGGGCCGCGUCCCCAGUGUGCGAGCAGGCAGGGUGUGUGACGUUGUUCGUGAAGUCGCGCUGAGGAAACUUUUCGAUUUCGACUCUUUUUAAGGCAAGCGCAAUGUCAGGACAGCCGACGCAAGUGGUAGUGGAGACCCUUCCUCCCGGCACCUGCACCGUCUGCAGGAGAGGCCAGAUCAAGAACAAAGCCUCGUGCUGUACCUGGAUCACUUGCCUGUUGCUGCUGCCGCUUGGGAUCAUCCCGGGCAUCAUCGCCUUCUGCUGCUGCUGCCGGGAACCCAAGUGCAGCCACUGCGGCUACACGCCCUAGUCCGCCCUAGUCCCCCCUCCCCCCUUCGCAGACACCUUUCACAGAGGCUUUCCACGCGUACGUUUUCCUCAAGGUUUGGAAUGAAGCUGAAGUGCGGGCCGUGAAAGUCAUCGCGGGGCGAGGAAAAGCACCUGGUUGACGUUUGCUUUACAUUUGAUAUUAAGUGGUAAGAGUUUGUUGCACUUUUAAUCCUUCAGAAAAAAAAAAAAAUAAUUGGUUGUUUUGUCCUCCACGUAAUUGCAGACAAAUUCAUAGUUGUUUGAAGUAGCGUUGUAUUUUUAUACAGUGAAAUUAUCUUGUUUUAAGAAAGCAAAUGUUCUUUAUUUUGUGGUGUAGACUUUGUGAUAGAUUCGUUGAAAUUUGUGGGGAAUCGUAAGGGAUUUUGGUAUUGAAGUAAGUCAAGGUUGCAUUUGAUGAUACAAAGGUUAUUGAAAGUUUGUGAGUGCUCUGUGUUGUGUGUAGCCAGUCUUCUAUAAAUCAUGUUGAAAUAAUGCUUUAUUUUUUAGUUCCUACAAUUAAAUCACUUCGGUAAUUAGAGAAUUAUAGCACUAUAAUGUAAUGUAAUAUGAAUGCAUAUGUUUCAUAACCUUUAUUUUGAAUACUUUUAUACGUAUAUAGUUUAUGGACAGUUACUAGUGUUUUUUGCAACACCAGGCAUAUUUUGGCUUGAUAUAUUAGACCAUAUUAAUUACCAAAAUAUUUCUAAUAGCAUUGUUUAUAUUCCAAGAAAUUUCAUUUUAUUAAAACAUCAUAUAGUUA